rnacentral:rRNA from 1 species
CCUACGGGUGGCAGCAGUCGAGAAUCAUUCACAAUGGGGGAAACCCUGAUGGUGCGACGCCGCGUGGGGGAAUGCAGGUCUUCGGAUUGUAAACCCCUUUCAUGUGGGAGCAAAUUAAAAAGAUAGUACCACCAGAAGAAGAUACGGCUAACUCUGUGCCAGCAGCCGCGGUAAUACCGAGGUCUCAAGCGUUGUUCGGAAUCACGGGGCGUAAAGCGUGCGUAGGCUGUUUCGUAAGUCGUGUGUGAAAGGCGCGGGCUCAACCCGGGGACGGCAUAUGAUACUGCGAGACUAGAGGUAAGGAGGGGGAACCGGAAUGCUCGGUGUAGCAGUGAAAUGCGUAGAUAUCGAGAGGAACACUCGUGGCGAAGGCGGGUUCCUGGACAUUAACUGACGCUGAGGCACGAAGGCCAGGGGAGCGAAAGGGAUUAGAUACCCGAGUAGUC